rnacentral:rRNA from 1 species
GACGGAGGGGGCAAGCGUUGUUCGGAAUUAUUGGGCGUAAAGGGCUCGUAGGCGGACCGGUAAGUCUGAUGUGAAAUCCCAAAGCUUAACUUUGGAACUGCGUCGGAUACUGGAUGGCUUGAAUUCGGGAGAGGGAUGCAGAAUUCCAGGUGUAGCGGUGAAAUGCGUAGAUAUCUGGAGGAAUACCGGUGGCGAAGGCGGCAUCCUGGACCGACAUUGACGCUGAGGAGCGAAAGCGUGGGGAGCGAACAGG